rnacentral:rRNA from 1 species
UGGUGGAGUGAUUUGUCUGCUUAAUUGCGAUAACGAACGAGACCUUAACCUGCUAAAUAGCCAGGCUAGCUUUGGCUGGUCGCCGGCUUCUUAGAGGGACUAUCGGCUCAAGCCGAUGGAAGUUUGAGGCAAUAACA